CACGACAACAAGGGCGGCGCCAUUGCGCUCAUUUUGUCAACGUACUUCCGGCUGCAUAUGAUGAGCAGCUGAGGCAGUGGCUGAAGGCGACGCAUUAAACCUAAAAAGCUCAAGCGCCUUUAUGUUUGUUUCUUACCAAUUUUAACGGACGGGAAGCUGACUGAGGAACACCCUAAUCCCAAGUAAUGGUUUGACUACGAUGUUCCGGUAACUUGAAGCUAUGCCGGGUGUUGAAAAGGUGGUCAGUUUCAGAUGCAUUGAUGUUUAGUGAUGCAAUGGACAACUGUGAGGAAAACACAAUCAACAUGUUCCUAAACUGUGAUCCAGAAACACAAUGGGAGGAUCCAUCCGUCUCUGAACACAACUACACUUUAAAAUCACAACUCAACCUGAAGCAACCUACAUCUGAUAUGGCAGUGGUUCUUAACAUUAUUCCUGGAGGCCCACUGCCCUGCACAGUUUGUAUGUCUCCCUUAUUUAACACACCUGUCUCCCUUAUUUAACACACCUGAUUCAAAUCAUCAGCUCAUUAGAAGAGAUCUCAAUGAACUGAACUGAGUCUGUCAGAUAAAAGAGACAUACAAAAUGUGCAAAGCAGUGGGCCAUGAGGAAUAACGUUAAGAACCACUGUGAUAUGGGAAAACAACCUUGCGGUUUCCCGGACAGGGCUUAUGCUGGUCCCAGGCUAAAAUGCAUAUUUGAGCUACGAUAAUUUAAAAACGCCUUGUACUGACAUACCUCAACAUAUAUGAGUGCCAUUGUUUUGUCACAAGAUGUGGUUUGUUUGUAAAAAAUAAAAUGUCCUAAUAUAAUUAAGGCCUAGUCCUGUAAACUCUGUCCGAGAUGUGUUGAGCUGGCACAAAUGUACAUAUCUCUGCUGAGAAACAACCAUCUUUGUCAGCUUUACACAGGGUAGAUAGUGCAUUCAUUACAUUCAGUCGCUAAGCACGUCACCAGUACAUACACCAACAGCUUCCAGAUAAACACUUGGGAUCAGCUCCUGAUGACUCUGAUAAAGCUGUGUCUUAAUUCAUUGCAGGGUGGUCUUGCUGAAAAGUUUCUUAGUCCAUAGUUAUUUUUAUAAACCUUUACAAUGUGACCUGAUUUUACCUGUUGUAAAGUUACAUUAAACCUUCAUAUGUGAUCAGAUGUCAUGCAGUGAUAUUAAACAUUUACAAUGUGAUCAGAUGUUACCUGUCAUGCAUUUAUAUUAAACCUUUACAAUGUGA